UUAACCGUUUGGAGUUUUUGGCACUUUGCAAAGGUAGUUGUUUGAAUGUUGCAAGGUAGAUGCUUGAAUUCUAAAUUGACUUCUUUUUUAUAUUGAUUUGACUAUGCUUUUAGUGGGAGUU